rnacentral:miRNA from 12 species
CAAAUUCGGUUCUAGAGAGGUUU